GACGAACGCUGGCGGCGUGCUUAACACAUGCAAGUCGAACGGUAAGGCCCUUCGGGGUACACGAGUGGCGAACGGGUGAGUAACACGUGGGUGAUCUGCCCUGCACUUCGGGAUAAGCCUGGGAAAAUGGGUCUAAUCCCGGAUAGGCACCUGGGAUGCAUGUCCUGGGGUGGAAAGCUUUUGCGGUGUGGGAUGGGCCCGCGGCCUAUCAGCUUGUUGGUGGGGUGAUGGCCUACCAAGGCGACGACGGGUCGCCGGCCUGAGAGGGUGCACGGCCACACUGGGACUGAGAUACGGCCCAGACUCCUACGGGAGGCAGCAGUUGGGAAUAUUGCACAAUGGGCGCAAGCCUGAUGCAGCGACGCCGCGUGAGGGGUGACGGCCUUCGGGUUGUAAACCUCUUUCAGCACCGACGAAGCGCAAGUGACGGUAGGUGCAGAAGAAGGACCGGCCAACUACGUGCCAGCAGCCGCCGUAA
rnacentral:rRNA from 1 species